AUGCACGCUGGCGGCGUGCCUAACACAUGCAAGUCGAACGAAGCACCUUACCUGAUUCUUCGGAUGAAAGUUUGGUGACUGAGUGGCGGACGGGUGAGUAACGCGUGGGUAACCUGCCCUGUACGGGGGGAUAACAGCUGGAAACGGCUGCUAAUACCGCAUAAGCGCACGAGGAGACAUCUCCUUGUGUGAAAAACUCCGGUGGUACAGGAUGGGCCCGCGUCUGAUUAGCUGGUUGGCAGGGUAACGGCCUACCAAGGCAACGAUCAGUAGCCGGUCUGAGAGGAUGAACGGCCACAUUGGAACUGAGACACGGUCCAAACUCCUACGGGAGGCAGCAGUGGGGAAUAUUGCACAAUGGGGGAAACCCUGAUGCAGCAACGCCGCGUGAGUGAAGAAGUAUUUCGGUAUGUAAAGCUCUAUCAGCAGGGAAGAUAAUGACGGUGCCUGACUAAGAAGCUCCGGCUAAAUACGUG
rnacentral:rRNA from 1 species